rnacentral:lncRNA from 1 species
CUGGAAUCAGUGCUGUCGGGCUGGGGACCAGUGUCUCUGGCCUGUAAAACCUUCUCCCAAAACCUUCUGGGAGGCUUUGAGGGUCUCAGAGGAACCUGGCAGGAAGGAUUCUCUCCUUGCCAUGGGGAUGAGGACAAAUUCUCCCUUCAUCCUUGAGAUUGGACUCCCGCCACACAUCCUGGAGGAGCCUACAGAGAAGCCGGCAGGUCUCCCUCACCUGGAUGGUGCCAGCGGGUGGCCUGGACCACCCAGAGGCCCUCUCCUGCACCUGACAGGAAGCCCCUGGGGCAUACGUCUCCCCUGCCACUUCCACUGUGGCCACUGGAAGUGUGGCAGAGAAAAUAGCUAGGACAAAAAGAAGUCAAUGAUUUCAACCAACGGAAUUUCUUUGUCCUUUGUAAAAAUCAACACAUGAUCUGUUACUGAUUGGGAUGUGAAAUAAAACUAAAAAUAACAGCACACUGAGCCUGGCUCAGGGCUCAGCUCACCUUUA